CAUCUUGUCUUCCACAGGUACUGUUCGCCUACAACACUACUCCUCACCAAGCUACGGGAGAAUGCCCGUAUUUUUUGAUGUUUGGGCAGGAGCCUAGACUUCCAGUGGACUUCCUGCUUGGUAGAGUUGAGGAGCCACAGUCAGGUAGCGUUCAUCGGUGGGUCCUGGAGCAUCAGGAUCGGUUGCAGGUGGCUUUUGAGGGGGCUCGCGAGCGGUUGGGGGCUGCUGCUGACCGCCGGAAAGCCAGGCACGAUCUGCAGGUACGAGAAUCACAACUGCAGGAGGGUCAAUUGGUAUAUCUCCGUGACUAUAGCGUGAGAGGUCGACAUAAAAUCCAUGACCUGUGGAGCUCCGUGGUGUACCAGAUUGUGAAGGCACCUAAGGAAGGAGGUGUGGUGUAUACAAUUGCUCCCAUCACAGAUCUAGGCAAGUUAAAGCACGUGCACCGAUCUUUGCUGAAACUUCAGAUUGGCAGGAACUCUCCCCCCAUGUUGCAGGACAUUCCAUUAGUGGAAACUGUGCGGCCUCGAGAAGAAUUGGACGAGGGAGAUUUGUUUGUUCUGGUACCUGAAACACCGCAGGUUAGUGGUAGGCAAGCACCUAGGAGUAUGCUUCAGUCUGAACCCCAGGGUUCUGGUGAAGUCCAGGAAUCAGAAGAAAUCCCUGAGGUAAGAUUGAAUGAGCAGCCACUAAUAAACCCUCCUUUACACUCUGCUUCGGUGGGGGAGAGUGUGGUGAGAAGGACUGGAAGGAGUACUGCUGGGCAGCACUCUAAUGUACAUCACCUCCCACGAUCCUUGGGACCAGGUACAGUGUCUAGUAUAGUGGGUAGUACAUCUGUGGUUUUAUUCCGUCCUUGGGACUGAAAGUUAAGAGGGUGGGCUUUUGGGUUUAGUUCAUCGUCGGGGCGACGAGGCAGAAGCCGGGGGUGGAUUGUGACAGAAUGAAUGAGGUUCAGGUGGUGAUUGACACUCCUGACCACCAAUCAGUAGCGAGCAGGCACUAUUUAGAGUGGGUUGGUUUGAGCCUGGCAUGUGUCACGCCCGGAUCCUCCCCUUUUGCGGUUGCUAAAGACAUUUCAGCCUGUCUUUUCAGUGUGUCCCUGUUGGAUGCUGCUUUGGAUCUGUUUAUUGCCCUCCCUGCAGGUAUGAGGAAGUUGUUUAGCAAUGUUUAGCUUUAACGCGUGUCAGGUGGCGUGAGUAAUGUGCAGUCCUUGAACUUCAGUUUAACAGCAGGUUAUUUGAAGGCUGCGUAUCCUGAGCGGUGAAUUGAUUCUCAGGAACUUAUCUAUCCGCGUUUGGAUCCUCCUUCUCUCCUUUUUCGUCCUGGGUGAUUAUUGCUGCGAUUCGACUUUUCCCUCGCUGCGUGCCGAGUGAACAACCUCGGCUUACAACUAUUUAAAAGGGAAUUCUG